rnacentral:rRNA from 1 species
GUCUGCUUGAAGAUAUAAGAAGUCUAACCUGCUCUCUGAUUAGUUUAAGGGCCGCGGUAACCUGACCGUGCAAAGGUAGCAUAAUAGUUAGUUUUYUAAUUGGAAUCUUGUAUGAAUGGUUGGACAAAAGAAAUACUGUCUCUAUAAUUUUUCUUGAAUUUAACUUUUAAGUGAAAAGGCUUAAAUGCUUUAAAAAGACGAUAAGACCCUAUAAAGCUUUAUAAAACAAGUUAUAUUAGAUUGAGUUAAUAUAAUAAAAUUUUAAUUAACUUAUUUAUUUUGUUGGGGAGACAGCAUUAUAAGUAUUAAUAACUGUGGGAGAUAUAAACAAAUAUAAAUGUUUAAAAAUAAAAGAUCCUAUAUAAAGAUUACAAGUUUAAGUUACUUUAGGGAUAACAGCGUUAUUUUUCUUGAGAGUUCAUAUCGAAAGAAAAGAUUGCGACCUCGAUGUUGAAUUAAAAUUUCUAAAUGAUUGCAGAAGUUAUUUUAGAAGGUCUGUUCGACCUUUAAAUUUUUACAUGAUUUGAGUUCAGACCGGCGUAAGCCAGGUCGGUUUCUAUCUUUUAAUUAAAAAUAAAUUACUUUAGUACGAAAGGAUUUAGUAGUUAAAAAAUUUUUUAUAUUGAUAAAGCUAUCUUGGCAGAAUAUAUGCGUAGGA